rnacentral:rRNA from 1 species
CUUCGUAAUAGUUUUUUCUUUGAAAAUUAAAAAUUUCGGCGGUGUUUUAGUCUGUUCAGAGGAACCUGUUCUGUAAUUGAUAGUCCACGAUUUAUUUUACUUAAUUAAUUUGUAUAUCGUCGUUAUUUUGAAUAUUUUAUAAGAAUAAUAAUGUUCAAUAUUUUUAAUAAGAGUUAAAGUCAGAUCAAGGUGCAGUUUAUGAUUAAGAAGAAAUGGGUUACAAUAAAUUUAUUUAAAUGGUUUAGAAAAUGAAAUUUUUUUAAUAAAGUGGGAAAGUAAUAUUUCUAAUUAGGCAUAAUGAUUUUAGCUCUAAAUAUG